ACGCUCGACACCUACGGGUGGCAGCAGUGGGGAAUAUUGCACAAUGGGGGAAACCCUGAUGCAGCGACGCCGCGUGAGCGAAGAAGUAUUUCGGUAUGUAAAGCUCUAUCAGCAGGGAAGAAAAUGACGGUACCUGACUAAGAAGCACCGGCUAAAUACGUGCCAGCAGCCGCGGUAAUCUGAGCGGGCUGGCAAGGC
rnacentral:rRNA from 1 species